rnacentral:rRNA from 1 species
CAAGUCGAACGCGAAAGUCCCGCAAGGGAUCAGUAGAGUGGCAAACGGGUGAGUAACGCGUGGGUGACCUGCCUUCGAGCGGGGGAUAACGUUUCGAAAGGAACGCUAAUACCGCAUGACAUCCUGCCUUUGAAGAGGUGGAGAUCAAAGCUGGGGAUCGCAAGACCUAGCACUUGAAGAGGGGCCCGCGUCUGAUUAGCUAGUUGGUGAGGUAACGGCUCACCAAGGCUUCGAUCAGUAUCCGGCCUGAGAGGGCGGACGGACACACUGGGACUGAGACACGGCCCAGACUCCUACGGGAGGCAGCAGUGGGGAAUUGUUCGCAAUGGGCGCAAGCCUGACGACGCAACGCCGCGUGGAGGAUGAAGACCUUCGGGUCGUAAACUCCUUUCGAUCGAGACGAAAGACUUCCGGGUGAACAAUCCGGGAGAGUGACGGUACCGAGAGAAGAAGCCCCGGCUAACUCCGUGCCAGCAGCCGCGGUAAUACGGGGGGGGCAAGCGUUGUUCGGAAUUACUGGGCGUAAAGGGCUCGUAGGCGGCCAACUAAGUCAGACGUGAAAUCCCUCGGCUUAACCGGGGAACUGCGUCUGAUACUGGAUGGCUUGAGGUUGGGAGAGGGAUGCGGAAUUCCAGGUGUAGCGGUGAAAUGCGUAGAUAUCUGGAGGAACACCGGUGGCGAAGGCGGCAUCCUGGACCAAUUCUGACGCUGAGUGAGCGAAAGCCAGGGGAGCAAACGGGAUUAGAUACCCCGGUAGUCCUGGCCCUAAACGAUGAAUGCUUGGUGUGGCGGGUAUCGAUCCCUGCCGUG